GGGAGCCUCCUCCAGUCAGCUGUGCGUCUCCAAGCUUCCUAUUUAUUUAUGGCACUGUCGUGAGGCAGCAGACUCGGAAAGAGGAAGUGAAGCCUGUUUCUACACACAUGCCCUUUCACAAGCAUUGCUCAGCUUCUCAGAAUUGUGGACAUAACAUCGCUUGCUGACAGCACCAGAUGCAAGUUUUCCUUGGGGGCACGGAGCAGAUUGGUGUGGCCACCUUCGUACCUCCAGUGAGGGAUCACAGGCUGACAGCCCAGCCAAGCUCCUGACCGCUGUGGUGCCCUGUCUUCAGGCCACCUGGGGGCACCUGGACCCCAGGGCUCCUGUGGGGCCAGAAGUCACCGGCAGGGUGGCUGGAAGAUGGAAUUUGGGAACUCAACAAUGCUCAACUUUUAAAAAAUAAAAACCAGCGAGCAAGCAGUCACAUCAGCUAAAACACAAUGGAACAAGAAAAGCUUCGUUAUAUUCUCUGGGGGCCUUUGGUGGGGCCAUGAGGUGUGCUCACCCAAAAGUGGUCCCGACAGGAGCUUUGACUGUCAUGGAGCCUGGUUCCUUUCUGCCUAGGACUUACAUUUUUCUUAUAUAAUUAAAAAUAUUUUCCACCA